rnacentral:sRNA from 1 species
UGCCUAACCCUCGUGAAUUAAAAAUUCCGAGGUAUGGCAGAAAAAUACGGUUCAGGUUAUUAAGCUCCUAGUCAGAGCACCUGAACCGUCAUAUCCGAAAGGGUAUGGGUGGCGCAAGCCAUC